CUCCCGUUCGUCUAGCCCGGCCUAGGACACCAGGUUUUCAUCCUGGCGACAGGGGUUCGAAUCCCCUACGGGAGGCCA
rnacentral:tRNA from 3 species